GAACCAAAUUGUUCCCGUCAAAGCUGUUCCAUUAUCGAGCUGGUUUUCGCUGUAAACAUCAAACGACCGAAAGUUACUUUGACGAACGCGUUGAUCGCCAGUAUAUGAACAUCACCAGUAAUGCCAUGUCCAUUUUGGAUCAACUACUGUGACAUUCGGAUCACGCUCGUCCGUUUCCGUAACCGGAAAAAGAGUCGAACUUGGAUCGGCGCACAAAUUGCAUAAAAUCUACGCAUUUAUUUGCCGGGAGUGUGCAUGAAGUUAAAAGGCUAGAACCGGAUGUGUUAUUUAGAAGUGCAGCGCAAACUGAAUAUAAUAACUAUGUACUCAGAGACAUAUUAAAUAAAUGCUGGUUCCUUC